GACCACAUAGCUCAGUUGGCAGAGCAUUGGACUAGUAUCCCAAAGGUCGCGGGUUCGAUUCCCACCGUGGUCA